UACAGAGGUCUCAAGCGUUGUUCGGAUUCAUUGGGCGUAAAGGGUGCGUAGGUGGCGCCGUAAGUCAGGUGUGAAAUUUCGGAGCUUAACUCCGAAACUGCAUUUGAUACUGCGGUGCUUGAGGACUGGAGAGGAGACUGGAAUUCCCGGUGUAGCGGUGAAAUGCGUAGAGAUCGGGAGGAACACCAGCGGCGAAGGCGGCAAACUGGAUAGGCACUGACACUCAACAACGAAAAGCGUGGGGAGCAAACAGGG
rnacentral:rRNA from 1 species